rnacentral:rRNA from 1 species
UAGGUGGCGAGCGUUAUCCGGAUUUAUUGGGCGUAAAGUGUCCGCAGCCGGUUUAUUAAGUCUAAGAUUAAAGCCCGAAGCUUAACUUCGGUUCGUUUUAGAAACUGAUAGACUCGAGUGUGGUAGAGGCAAGUGGAACUUCUAGUGUAGCGGUAAAAUGCGUAGAUAUUAGAAAGAACACCAGUGGCGAAGGCGACUUGCUGGGCCACCACUGACGGUCAGGGACGAAAGCGUGGGGAGCAAA